rnacentral:rRNA from 1 species
UACAGAGGGUGCGAGCGUUAAUCGGAAUUACUGGGCGUAAAGCGUGCGUAGACGGUUAUUUAAGUCGGGUGUGAAAGCCCCGGGCUCAACCUGGGAAUUGCAUUCGAGACUGCAUUGCUGGAGUACGGAAGAGGAAGGCGGAAUUCCCGGUGUAGCGGUGAAAUGCGUAGAUAUCGGGAGGAACAUCAGUGGCGAAGGCGGCCUUCUGGUCCAGUACUGACACUCAAGUGCGAAAGCGUGGGGAGCAAACAGG